CUCUGUGAGCUACCAAAACCAAAAUGUUCUUUCCCUUAGCACCCCAGCUUCACUAGUCUAUCUACUUCUAUGUACCUUUCAGCAAGAUGAUAGCAUAGUCAGUUCAGUUCGUUAGUCAGGCAGCAGUUUAGUGCUACAGGUGUUGCUGGAAACUCCUUAACUUUCUAUGGAAUGAAAAAGUCUAGCAAUGAUACCUAUUCCAAAGCAGUGCAGUUGGCGCUACCUUUACACAGAAUACACAAUCUCUUAAAAAUACACUUAUCUCAAGCUGAAGCACACAAACUUCUAAAGCCAGAAAUUAAACCGAGAAAUGACUGCAUGAGAUAAGUAGUUCCAAAUGUUCCUUAUGCUUUAAAGUGAGAGGAUCAUCAAAGUGUCAGGGAAUUCAGUAUUCUGUGAGACAGACCAAUGAAAUUUGAGAAACACUUUAACUUUGAAAGUGCAAACACGUAAUUCAGGAAGAUGCACAGUUUCAUUAAAAGCUUAAAUUAACAGAGACUCAAGAAAUAAGUGAAGCCUGUAAAUGGUGAAAGCAAAAGAGACUGAGGAGCUGAUACCCAAACUUGUGAAGGAGAAGCUGAUGAACAGCUUCAGACUUAACUGCUAUUAUGAUUUACUAAAUCAUUCUUUUAUAUCUCCUGUGGUUAAAAAAUGAAAACCAACCUGGGCUGAAAACAGAAGACUGAAUGCCAAAAUGUUUGGAAUCCCACUUCAUUCAAAUAGUGACCACUGGGGUUAUGAAGAAAGAGAAGUUAU
rnacentral:lncRNA from 1 species